rnacentral:rRNA from 1 species
AGCGAACGCUGGCGGCAGGCCUAACACAUGCAAGUCGAACGGAUCCUUCGGGAUUAGUGGCGGACGGGUGAGUAACACGUGGGAACGUGCCCUUUGGUUCGGAACAACCCAGGGAAACUUGAGCUAAUACCGGAUGUGCCCUUCGGGGGAAAGAUUUAUCGCCAUUGGAGCGGCCCGCGUCUGAUUAGCUAGUUGGUGAGGUAACGGCCCACCAAGGCGACGAUCAGUAGCUGGUCUGAGAGGAUGAGCAGCCACACUGGGACUGGGACACGGCCCAGACUCCUGCGGGAGGGGGCAGUGGGGGAUCUUGCCCAAUGGGCGGAAGGCUGACGCAGCCAGGGCGGGUGAAUGAUGAAGGUCUUAAGAUUAUAAAAUUCUUUCAGCGGGGACGGUAAUGACGGUACCCGAAGAAGAAGCUCCGGCUAACUUCGUG